rnacentral:rRNA from 1 species
CCUACGGGGGGCUGCAGUGGGGAAUCUUAGACAAUGGGCGAAAGCCUGAUCUAGCCAUGCCGCGUGGACGAUGAAGGCCUUAGGGUUGUAAAGUCCUUUCAGAUGGGAAGAUAAUGACGGUACCAUCAGAAGAAGCCCCGGCUAACUCCGUGCCAGCAGCCGCGGUAAUACGGAGGGGGCUAGCGUUGUUCGGAAUUACUGGGCGUAAAGCGCGCGUAGGCGGACUGGAAAGUUGGGGGUGAAAUCCCGGGGCUCAACCUCGGAACUGCCUUCAAAACUAUCAGUCUGGAGUUCGAGAGAGGUGAGUGGAAUUCCGAGUGUAGAGGUGAAAUUCGUAGAUAUUCGGAGGAACACCAGUGGCGAAGGCGGCUCACUGGCUCGAUACUGACGCUGAGGUGCGAAAGCGUGGGGAGCAAACAGGCUUAGAUACCCCUGUAGUC